rnacentral:misc_RNA from 1 species
UCUCCGUUGGUGAACCAGCGGAGGGAUCAUUACUGAGUUACCGCUCUACAACCUUUUGUGAACAUACCUAACUGUUGCUUCGGCGGGCAGAGGUCCCUCGCGGAUCUCUCCCGGCAACGCCCUCACGGGCGGAGCGCCCGCCGGAGGAUACCAAACUCUAUUUUAACGACGUUUCUUCUGAGUGGCACAAGCAAAUAAUUAAAACUUUUAACAACGGAUCUCUUGGUUCUG